GUACUUGCUUCAGCAGCACAUAUAAUGAACUUGGAAUGAUACAGAGAAGAUUAACAUGACUCCUGCUCAAGGAUAACACACAAAUUCAUGAAGCAUUCAGUAUUUUG